CGCAUUAGAGCGCGGUCGCUCCCAGCCUGAGCGAAGAUGGCGGCCUCCAGAUUGAGCCUCUGAGAGGCAGAGGGAGGAGGCGGAGGGGGCGGGGAGGCAGCGCCGCCUCGGCACCAGGAACCCGCGGCAGCGGAGCCACUGAGCCCCAGCGAGGGAAAGGGGAAGUGGUGGCGGGGAGGAGGCCGGAGGUCGUCUCAGCCCACUCUGGACGCGGAGCCGGCGGCGGGCGGAGCUCGGGCUGGAGCCUCUCCAGCCUCCCGCAAGGUUUCAGCACAAAAUGAACAUAAUCAGGGAAAAUAAGGAUUUGGCAUGUUUCUACACAACAAAACAUUCGUGGAGGGGAAAGUAUAAGCGUGUCUUUUCUGUUGGAACCCAUGCGAUUACUACAUAUAAUCCCAAUACUUUAGAAGUAACAAAUCAGUGGCCUUAUGGAGACAUUUGCAGCAUCAGCCCUGUUGGAAGAGGACAGGGAACAGAGUUCAACCUCACAUUUCGUAAAGGCAGUGGAAAAAAGUCAGAAACUUUAAAAUUUUCUACAGAGCACAGAACAGAACUUCUUACGGAAGCAUUGAGAUUUAGGACUGAUUUUUCAGAAGGAAAAAUUAUAGGAAGGAGAUAUAACUGUUAUAAGCAUCAUUGGAGUGAUACAAGAAAACCUGUUAUUUUGGAAGUAACUCCUGGAGGCAUUGACCAGAUCAAUCCUGCAACUAACAGAGUUCUCUGUUCCUAUGACUACAGAAAUAUUGAAGGCUUUGUGGAUCUCUCUGACUGUCAAGGAGGGUUUUGUAUAAUUUAUGGAGGAUUUAGUAGAUUGCAUUUAUUUGCAUCAGAGCAAAGAGAAGAAAUUAUCAAGAGUGCAAUAGAUCAUGCUGGCAAUUACAUAGGUAUUUCAUUGCGGAUCAGAAAAGAACCUUUAGAAUUUGAGCAAUAUUUGAAUCUGCGCUUUGGAAAAUACAGCACUGAUGAAGCCAUCACAUCUUUAGCAGAGUUUGUAGUCCAAAAAAUAUCACCUAGACAUUUGGAACCUGUAAAAAGACUGCUGGCGCUUACAGAAACAUGUUUAGUGGAACGUGACCCAGCAACUUAUAAUAUUGCAACAUUGAAGCCUUUAGGAGAAGUGUUUGCAUUGGUUUGUGACUCAGAAAAUCCACAACUCUUUACCAUUGAAUUUAUAAAAGGGCAAAUACGGAAAUAUUCUUCAACAGAGAGAGACUCCUUAUUAGCAAGUUUGCUGGAUGGAGUAAGAGCCUCUGGUAAUAGAGAUGUUUGUGUGAAAAUGACACCAACCCAUAAAGGUCAGCGAUGGGGGUUACUAAGCAUGCCUGUCGAUGAGGAAGUAGAGAGCCUUCAUCUCAGAUUCCUAGCUACACCUCCAAAUGGCAACUUUGCAGAUGCUGUAUUCAGGUUCAAUGCUAAUAUUUCAUAUAGCGGCGUUCUGCAUGCAGUAACGCAGGAUGGUCUCUUCUCAGAAAACAAAGAAAAGCUGAUCAAUAAUGCCAUAACAGCAUUAUUGUCCCAAGAGGGAGAUGUUGUUGCUUCCAAUGCAGAACUAGAGAGUCAGUUCCAGGCUGUGAGGAGGCUCGUGGCUUCCAAAGCUGGUUUUCUAGCCUUUACUCAGCUUCCAAAGUUUCGGGAACGUCUGGGAGUGAAGGUAGUAAAAGCACUCAAGAGGAGCCACAAUGGAGUGAUUCAUGCAGCUGUUGACAUGCUCUGUGCCCUCAUGUGUCCCAUGCAUGAUGACUAUGACUUAAGACAAGAACAGCUCAACAAAGCUUCCCUUCUCUCUUCAAAGAAGUUUCUGGAAAACUUACUGGAGAAAUUUAAUUCCCAUGUGGAUCAUGGGACUGGUGCCCUAGUUAUUAGUUCACUCUUGGACUUCCUUACUUUUGCCCUCUGUGCUCCAUAUAGUGAGACAACUGAAGGGCAGCAGUUUGAUAUGCUCUUAGAAAUGGUAGCAUCUAAUGGAAGAACCCUCUUUAAACUCUUUCAGCAUCCUUCCAUGGCAAUUAUAAAGGGAGCUGGAUUGGUUAUGAAGGCAAUAAUAGAGGAAGGUGACAAAGAAAUUGCUACAAAAAUGCAAGAGCUUGCCCUCAGUGAAGGUGCCUUACCUCGACACUUGCAUACUGCGAUGUUUACAAUAAGCUCAGAUCAAAGGAUGCUUACAAAUAGACAGCUAAGUAGACAUUUAGUGGGCCUCUGGACAGCUGAAAAUGUAACUGCAACAAACUUGUUGAAGCGCAUUUUGCCUCCAGGCUUGCUGGCAUACUUGGACAGCUCAGAUUCAGUUCCUGAGAGGGAUGCUGAUCGGAUGCAUGUUAGAGAUAAUGUGAAAAUAGCAAUGGAUCAGUAUGGAAAAUUUAAUAAAGUUCCAGAGUGGCAAAGACUAGCUGGAAAAGCUGCUAAAGAAGUUGAAAAAUUUGCCAAAGAAAAAGUGGAUCUUGUGUUGAUGCAUUGGAGAGAUAGAAUGGGUAUUUCUCAAAAAGAGGACAGAAACAAUAUGAAUGUAAACCAAAAGCCAGUAGUUCUUCGAAAGAGAAGACAAAGAAUAAAAAUAGAAGCAAAUUGGGAUCUCUUCUAUUAUAGGUUUGGUCAGGACCAUGCCAGAUCAAACCUAAUUUGGAAUUUCAAAACACGAGAAGAAUUGAGAGAUAGUCUUGAAUCUGAAAUGAGAGCAUUUAAUAUUGAUAGAGAGCUUGGUAGUACCAGUGUGAUUGCCUGGAACCACCAUGAAUUUGAGGUUAAAUAUGAGUGCUUGGCAGAGGAAAUCAAAAUAGGAGACUAUUAUCUGAGAUUACUAUUGGAAGAAGAUGAGAAUGAAGAAAGUGGAUCAAUUAAGAGAUCGUAUGAAUUUUUCAAUGAGCUCUAUCAUCGUUUCCUGCUCACCCCAAAAGUAAACAUGAAGUGUCUAUGUUUACAAGCCCUUGCUAUUGUUUAUGGCAGAUGUCAUGAAGAAAUAGGACCUUUUACAGAUACACGAUAUAUCAUUGGAAUGUUAGAGAGGUGCACAGAUAAACUUGAACGAGAUAGAUUAAUCCUCUUCCUUAACAAGUUGAUCCUUAAUAAGAAAAAUGUUAAGGAUCUCAUGGAUUCAAAUGGGAUUAGAAUCCUUGUGGAUUUACUUACCCUUGCACAUCUCCAUGUAAGCCGAGCUACGGUACCACUGCAAAGCAAUGUAAUUGAAGCUGCUCCAGAUAUGAAGAGAGAGAGUGAAAAGGAAUGGUACUUUGGCAGUGCAGACAAAGAAAGGAGUGGCCCGUAUGGAUUUCAUGAGAUGCAAGAACUGUGGACCAAAGGAAUGUUAAAUGCAAAGACCAGAUGCUGGGCUCAAGGCAUGGAUGGAUGGCGACCACUACAGGCAAUCCCUCAGCUUAAGUGGUGUCUGUUAGCCAGUGGACAGGCUGUGCUAAAUGAAACUGACCUUGCUACCCUCAUAUUGAACAUGUUGAUCACAAUGUGUGGAUAUUUUCCAAGCAGAGACCAAGAUAAUGCCAUCAUUCGGCCUUUACCCAGAGUGAAAAGACUGCUCUCAGACAAUGCUUGCCUUCCCCAUAUUAUUCAGCUACUGCUGACCUUUGACCCUAUCCUUGUUGAGAAGGUUGCUAUUUUGUUAUACCAUAUCGUGCAAGAUAACCCACAGUUACCUCGUCUUUAUCUUAGUGGAGUAUUUUUCUUUAUCAUGAUGUAUACAGGUUCCAAUGUGCUUCCUGUGGCUCGAUUUUUGAAGUACACACAUGCCAAGCAGGCUUUCAAGUCCGAGGAGUCAAAAGGACAAGAUAUUUUUCAAAGAAGUAUACUUGGGCACAUCCUACCAGAAGCAAUGGUUUGUUACUUAGAAAAUUAUGAGUCUGAAAAGUUUUCUGAGAUUUUUCUUGGAGAAUUUGACACACCAGAAGCAAUCUGGAGCAGUGAAAUGAGGCGCCUCAUGAUAGAGAAGAUCGCUGCCCAUCUUGCUGAUUUCACACCUCGUCUUCAGAGUAACACGAGAGCACUUUAUCAAUAUUGUCCCAUCCCAGUUAUCAACUAUCCACAACUAGAAAAUGAACUAUUUUGUAAUAUUUAUUACCUCAAACAACUUUGUGAUACACUCCGAUUUCCAGAUUGGCCAAUUAAAGACCCGGUUAAACUUCUAAAAGAUACCCUUGAUGCCUGGAAGAAGGAAGUAGAAAAGAAGCCACCUACUAUGUCAAUAGAUGAUGCUUAUGAAGUGCUUAAUCUCCCUCAAGGACAGGGACCGCACGAUGAGAGCAAGAUCAGAAAAGCUUAUUUCAGACUUGCACAAAAGUACCACCCUGACAAGAAUCCAGAAGGAAGAGAUAUGUUUGAGAAAGUAAAUAAAGCAUAUGAAUUUUUAUGUACCAAAUCAGCAAAAAUAGUGGAUGGACCAGAUCCAGAGAAUAUAAUUUUAAUUCUGAAAACGCAGAGCAUUCUCUUCAACCGUCAUAAAGAAGAUUUACAGCCUUACAAAUAUGCAGGAUACCCCAUGCUGAUUAGGACUAUAACCAUGGAAACUUCAGAUGACCUCCUUUUCUCAAAAGAAUCACCUUUGUUGCCUGCUGCGGUAGAACUGGCUUUCCACACUGUCAACUGCUCAGCCCUUAAUGCUGAAGAGCUCCGACGGGAGAAUGGAAUUGAGGUGUUACAAGAGGCAUUUAGUCGCUGUGUGGCUGUCUUGAAUCGUUCUAGUAAACCAAGUGACAUGUCAGUACAGGUAUGUGGACACAUAAGCAAAUGUUAUAGUGUGGCUGCUCAGUUUGAAGAAUGCCGAGAGAAGAUUACAGAAAUGCCCAGCAUCAUCAAGGAUCUCUGUCGGGUGCUAUAUUUUGGCAAGAAUAUUCCACGGGUGGCCGCUCUUGGGGUAGAGUGUGUCAGUUCUUUUGCUGUGGAUUUCUGGCUACAGACACACCUGUUUCAAGCUGGUAUUUUGUGGUAUAUGCUUGGUUAUCUGUUUAAUUAUGACUACACCCUGGAAGAGAGUGGCAUUCAGAAAAGUGAAGAAACAAACCAGCAGGAAGUAGCCAACAGCCUUGCCAAACUGAGUGUCCGUGCUCUCAGUCGCCUUGGAGGGUAUCUGCCUGAAGAACAAGCAACUCCAGAAAAUCCAACCAUCAGGAAAAGUUUAUCUGGCAUGCUGACACCCUAUGUUGCUAGAAAACUUGGUGUGGUUAGUACUACUGAGAUUUUGAAGAUGCUUAACAGCAACACAGAGAACCCCUAUUUGAUAUGGAACAAUUCUACAAGGGCAGAGCUACUUGAAUUUCUUGAAUCCCAACAAGACAACAUGAUUAAAAAAGGUGAUUGUGACAAAACUUAUGGAUCCGAAUUUGUCUAUAGUGAUCACGCCAAAGAACUUAUUGUAGGCGAGAUUUUUGUUAGGGUAUAUAAUGAAGUCCCUACUUUCCAGCUAGAGGUUCCAAAAGCGUUUGCUGCAAGUCUCUUGGAUUACAUAGGCUCACAGGCCCAGUACCUCCACACAUUCAUGGCUAUCACACAUGCUGCAAAAGUGGAGUCCGAACAACACGGAGACCGCUUGCCAAGAGUGGAAAUGGCUUUGGAGGCUCUGAGAAAUGUCAUAAAAUAUAAUCCAGGCUCUGAAAGUGAAUGCACUGGGCACUUUAAAUUAAUAUUUUCUCUUCUCCGAGUCCAUGGAGCUGGUCAAGUGCAGCAAUUGGCUUUGGAGGUUGUGAAUAUAGUGACAUCGAACCAAGAUUGUGUCAACAAUAUUGCUGAAUCAAUGGUUUUGUCCAAUUUAUUGGCUCUUCUACAUUCAUUACCUUCAAGUCGCCAGCUUGUUCUAGAAACUCUUUAUGCUUUGACAUCAAGUACAAAAAUAAUUAAAGAAGCAAUGGCAAAAGGAGCUUUGAUUUAUUUACUAGAUAUGUUCUGCAAUUCAACACAUCCACAGGUUCGAGCGCAAACAGCGGAACUUUUUGCUAAAAUGACAGCAGAUAAACUAAUAGGUCCAAAGGUUCGACUUACAUUAAUGAAAUUUCUGCCAAGCGUUUUCAUGGAUGCCAUGAGAGACAGCCCCGAAGCUGCUGUCCAUAUUUUUGAAGGAACUCAUGAAAAUCCGGAGUUAAUUUGGAAUGAUAGUUCUAGAGAUAAAGUGUCCACAACAGUUAGAGAAAUGAUGCUAGAGCACUUUAAAAAUCAGCGAGACAACCCGGAUAUAAACUGGAAGUUGCCUGAAGAUUUUACUGUGGUGUUUGGAGAAGCAGAGGGUGAACUUGCUGUUGGAGGAGUUUUCUUGAGAAUCUUUAUUGCACAACCAGCUUGGGUUCUAAGAAAACCUAGAGAAUUUCUUAUUGCACUACUAGAAAAAUUAACUGAGCUGCUGGAGAAGAACAAUCCUCAUGGGGAAACUCUGGAAACUUUGACAAUGGCUACAGUAUGUCUCUUCAAUGCACAGCCUCAGCUGGCUGAUCAAGUCCCACCAUUGGGCCAUCUUCCCAAAGUCAUCCAGGCAAUGAAUCACAGGAACAACGCCAUUCCUAAGAGUGCCAUGCGAGUUAUCCAUGCCCUGUCUGAAAACGAGCUGUGUGUUCGAGCCAUGGCAUCUUUAGAGACCAUUGGUCCUCUGAUGAAUGGAAUGAAAAAGCGACCGGAUAUUGUUGGUCUAGCCUGUGAAGCAAUUAAUCGAAUGUUUCAGAAGGAGCAGAGUGAAUUGGUAGCACAAGCCCUGAAAGCAGAUUUGGUCCCAUACCUCUUGAAAUUACUUGAAGGCAUUGGCCUCGAAAAUCUGGACAGUCCAGCAGCCACUAAGGCUCAGAUUGUUAAAGCCCUCAAGGCCAUGACUCGAAGCCUGCAGCAUGGAGAACAGGUGAAUGAAAUCCUGUCUCGUUCAUCAGUCUGGAGUGCCUUCAAAGACCAGAAACAUGAUUUAUUUAUUUCUGACUCACAAACAGCAGGAUACCUCACAGGUGUCUCUCCUUCCCUUCUAACUGGCAGCAGCCCCCUUCACCUCAGGAGCGGGCUUUAGAUCCGCUCUGCCAGGCAGCUUGCUAACUUCUGUGUAGCUCUCUGACGCAGGACCUGGAGUUGCUGGCUACCUUACCGCAGGCACAUCCUCGUCAGUCAUGUCUAACCUGCCGCCUCCCGUAGACCAUGAGGCAGGCGACCUUGGCUAUCAGACUUGAAAUCCUCGUGAGAGACAUUACGCUGAAAGGCCAGUCGGUGCCCAGUCCACAUUCCUCCAGCUGACACGUUGAAGCAAACUCUUACUGCCUUCCUCCUGAUUUCAUGACAGUGUUAUUCCUUUUUCUAUGAAAAUAUUUUUAUUUAGGAAAAGUCAGUGAUUCCAGUUGUAUCACACUAUAAGAAAGCACUCUGUGGAUCAACCUAAGUGGGUACACAAGAAUUUCUUUCUUGAUGUAUGUAAGCACAUUGCUCCUUUAUAUCUGUUUACAAGACUGUGAAUCAAAAAGACAAAAUCUUCCUAAUUUUUAUAAUGUUUUUUUUUGAAUUAGUGUGACUGUGGGGUUGCACUACAGUCUAUAGAAACUGGGCUAAGUCACUCGUUCCUGGAAAAGGGCAUUUUCCUCUCCUGAAUCGAGUCCACAUGGCUGUCCUCUCAUGGUCGAACACUAUUAGGGCUUGUCCCUGCAUCUGUUCACUGGUCCCCUCCCGAGGCUCACAGUCCACGUCGUAUGUACAGCUGGCUCCAAAUUGAAUGAGAAAGGAGCUUGAGCAAAAAAUUUAAAAACAGAUGUCAAGAUGUUCGGUAAGAGAUUAGUGUAAUUGUGAAAUGUUCUAUACAUUAUCAAAUAUAUAAAGCUUUCUAUAUUGAAUGUACAUUAUAUAGAUCAUUCAUAUGUGUACAUAAAAUUUUAAAAUAAAGGGAAUUGACUGCUUUGUUAAUGAGA